UACGUAGGGUGCAAGCGUUUAAUCGGAAUUACUGGGCGUAAAGCGUGCGCAGGCGGUUGUGCAAGGACAGAUGUGAAAAUCCCCCGGGCUCAACCCUGGGGAAUUGCAUUUUGUGACUGCACGGCUAGAGUGUGUCAGAGGGGGGUAGAAUUCCACGUGUAGCAGUGAAAUGCGUAGAGAUGUGGAGGAAUACCGAUGGCGAAGGCAGCCCCCCUGGGAUAACAUGACGCUCUGCACGAAAGCGUGGGGAGCAAACAGG
rnacentral:rRNA from 1 species